rnacentral:misc_RNA from 1 species
GAUGAAGAACGUAGCGAAAUGCGAUAAGUAAUGUGAAUUGCAGAAUUCAGUGAAUCAUCGAAUCUUUGAACGCACAUUCCGCCCGCCAGUAUUCUGGCGGGCAUGCCUGUCUGAGCGUCAUUUCAACCCUCAUGCCCCUAGGGCGUGGUGUUGGGGAUCGGCCAAAGCCCGCGAGGGACGGCCGGCCCCUAAAUCUAGUGGCGGACCCGUCGUGGCCUCCUCUGCGAAGUAGUGAUAUUCCGCAUCGGAGAGCGAUGAGCCCCUGCCGUUAAACCCCCAACUUUCCAAGGUUGACCUCAGAUCAGGUAGGAAUACCCGCUGAACUUAAGCAUAUCAAUAGCGGAGGA